UCCAACCAAAUAGAUAACCAAAUUAUAUCUCUGGUGCAAAUUCUAGUUAAAAUAAAUUUCGUUCCACAAUAACGGGAAGUUGCGCAAUUUUUCUGUCAAAAUAAGGGACGUUGCACAUCCAAUCCGAGCUCUAUGAAAAUUUGCGCCAACCUUAUUGAACGCCGAUGAUAUUAUCCCCCUUUCUCUGUAAUGAUUUUAGUAGACACGUGUCAUCUCGACCCUUUUAACUUCUCCUUCACGCGUCAGGAAAUCUCUCUAUAUAUACUUAACCCACUCCUUAUCGCUUCACUGUCUUAUCAUUCAUCUUUAGCUUUGUUUCGCGGGUUUUGAAUACAGCAACUGGCAAGUCAGUAAUCAUGUCUUCUUCUUCGAACAACAGAAACGCUUCAAAGGGAGGCGAGGCCAAUUUUGAUUCCAAGGCAGGGCGUUCGAAAGCGCCUGCUAAAAGCACCGCCAAGGCAAGGCCCGCCAAGAAAGAACCACCCAGAGAGAGACCUGUGAGCAAGUUUCAUGAUCUGCUGAACCACGGGGUAAAGAUAUAUGAUGAUGAUGCCAACGAGUUUUACGACGCUCUUGUAAAGGCUCGCAUAGAGCUUGACAAAGAGUUGGACGCCAUGGAUGCCGAAGAUGCUGCUCGCUGAAUAGCUUUUCAUCGCUUUGCAUUUGAUAGUUUUUUCAAGCAUUUGCUCUCUAGUUUGUGUUUUCAGUUGCUUUUAGUGGUUAGCCUGUAAACCCUUGGUUUUUUGUAGCGUGAUGUGGAUUUUUAGCCCUAAUUACUGAAACUCGCAACAUUUGGGGUUUUGUUUCUGUGGCAGAAUGUGAUUGAUUCAUAUUUCUGGCACUUUUUGUGCUAAAAUGUGAUCGAUUUAGGUUUUAUGCACUUUAUAAUAUCAGUAUCUUUGGUAAAUGUUAUGAUGUAAAUGCAUCCUGUGUUAUCAGCUGAUUCAGGUUUCAUGCACUUUAUAAUAUUAGUAUCUUUGGUAAA